GGAGCUACAGCCUGGAAACCCGCCCGCGCCGCCAUCUUCCCUCCCUCGGCCGUACAAAAGCAGGCGGAGGGCGGAUGUGGGGUUUGGAUGAUUUAAGUUGCUUCCGUUUUCCAAAUGGCGGUGGUCGCGCUCCGUUUCAGAGGGUCUCAGUUCCGCUGCUUGAAGUGCAUAACAAAAACGACAAGACUUUUUGGAAGCGGUUUAACUCGCUUAAAUUAAAUCCAGGGAAGAAACGUCCUCCUGCCAUUGAGACAGAAGUCUGCACAGCUGCCAGAUUCUUUUAAUCUGAAUUCUAAAAUACAGACUUUGUGACCACAAACUGGCCUAAAUUUAACACAUCUCUAUAAUCUCCAGCUUUUUGGUUCUUUGCCUGAUGAAGAGCUUUGGAAAACUUGAAAGCUUGUGUGCUUUGAGGGACAGUUCUCAAUAAAAAUACUAUCCAACUCUGAAUUUGGAUAGCAGUUGA